UCGUUACGUGGACGGAGACAAAGUAUCACCCCGCUCAGUGAGGAUGGAAGGGGCCCUGGAGGCUUUACAACACACAAAUGGCCAGGGCAUUGCCAAUGCCCUCUACUUGGUAGCAUCUAACCAUGUUUUUAC